AGAGUUUGAUCCUGGCUCAGAAUCAACGCUGGCGGGUGACACUGACAUGCUAGUCGAACGCGAAAGCCCCCUUCGGGGGCCUAGUAAAGUGGCGCACGGGUGAGUAACACGUAGGUAAUCUACCUUUGGAUGGGGAAUAACAACCGGAAACGGUUGCUAAUACCGCAUAAUGCAGCGGCACCUAAUGGUGACAGUUGUUAAAGCGGGGGAUCGCAAGACCUCGCGUCUGAAGAGGAGCCUGCGGCAGAUUAGCUAGUUGGUAAGGUAACGGCUUACCAAGGCGAUGAUCUGUAGCCGGCCUGAGAGGGCGGUCGGCCACACUGACACUGACAUACGGGUCAGACUCCUACGGGAGGCAGCAGUCGGGAAUUUUGGGCAAUGGGCGAAAGCCUGACCCAGCAACGCCGCGUGAAGGAUGAAAUCCCUCGGGAUGUCAACUUCGCAAGAACAGGAAGAAUAAGUGAGAGUUAAUAUCUCUCACGAUGACGGUACUGUUUGUAAGCUCCGGCUAACUCCGUGCCAGCAGCCGCGGUAAUACGGGGGGAGCAAGCGUUGUUUCGGAUUUACUGGGCGUAAAGGG
rnacentral:rRNA from 1 species